AACGAACGCUGGCGGCAUGCCUAACACAUGCAAGUCGAACGAGACCUUCGGGUCUAGUGGCGCACGGGUGCGUAACGCGUGGGAACCUGCCUUUAGGUUCGGAAUAACUCAGAGAAAUUUGAGCUAAUACCGGAUAAUGUCUUCGGACCAAAGAUUUAUCGCCUUUAGAUGGGCCCGCGUUGGAUUAGCUAGUUGGUGGGGUAAAGGCCUACCAAGGCGACGAUCCAUAGCUGGUCUGAGAGGAUGAUCAGCCACACUGGGACUGAGACACGGCCCAGACUCCUACGGGAGGCAGCAGUGGGGAAUAUUGGACAAUGGGCGAAAGCCUGAUCCAGCAAUGCCGCGUGAGUGAUGAAGGCCUUAGGGUUGUAAAGACUCUUUUACCCGAGAUGAUAAU
rnacentral:rRNA from 1 species